UACGUAGGGUGCAAGCGUUAAUCGGAAUUACUGGGCGUAAAGCGUGCGCAGGCGGCUUUGCAAGACAGAUGUGAAAUCCCCGGGCUUAACCUGGGAACUGCAUUUGUGACUGCAAGGCUGGAGUGCGGCAGAGGGGGAUGGAAUUCCGCGUGUAGCAGUGAAAUGCGUAGAUAUGCGGAGGAGCACCGAUGGCGAAGGCAAUCCCCUGGGCCUGCACUGACGCUCAUGCACGAAAGCGUGGGGAGCAAACAGG
rnacentral:rRNA from 1 species